rnacentral:tRNA from 6 species
GCGGCUGUGGCGGAAUGGCAGACGCGCUACUUUGAGGGGGUAGUGAUCUUUCGAUCGUGUGAGUUCAAGUCUCACCAGCCGCACCA